GUACUCAGUCUCCAUUUUUCUCUUUGCCUUUUCAGUAAGUACCUGGAAAGAACUGUCAACUUUUUUCCAGCCUGGCAAACAGUGACAAAAUUGAUUAAAAUCGGUUGAGUGUAACAUAAUGUCCUGAUUGUUUCCUACAGGGAUUAUUAACUAAGGGAAGAGUGCACUUCAGUUUUCUUUCUGACAACUUCCUAGUCCUUCAUAUGGGGAAUGAUGCCCUGGAAGAAUCUCUGGACAGCAAUAUCCCCAUAGGACAGGGCUGAAGGAUUUCUAUAUUCAGCCUUUCCUCCAGUAGUUCCUGGUUUGGUGGUUAAGGCUAAAGGGUAGAUUUCUCCAGGAGGAUCUUCCUCUAAACUAGCUGUGUCUCCAUACUGAGCCGACUGAAUAUAUGCUGGAGAAUCUGAUAGCAGAAACAGAGAUCUUAUGCCUUCUGGAUUUUGAUGAUAUCUCUACUUUCCUCAGGAAACUUGAAUUGGAUUCUGGCAUUCCAGCCUAAUUUAUAGGCAUUGCUUUUCAGAUGCCUGAAAAGAAUUCCGGUGUCCUUAUUUUCCAGGCUUUGGCUCCAAAAUCAUAGCGAACCAAAGGAACAGACUCAGCUACCGCUGACCAUCACCAUUGCCGUCUGCAGAGACCAGGAGUGGAGAAUUUCUCAGCUUCACCUGGACCACAGUGAAACUGCAGGUUGCCAGCUCUUAAACAGCGCGCGCCAGGCCCCCUCGCUACGCCCCAACGGCCAGAAGGGGGCGCUCGAACUCAACGUAACGACCCAACCGGCAUCUCCCACCGGCGGAACCCGCCAGGGCGUCAAACGCCGGGUCCCGCGGAAACCGCAGCUUCGCAAGCAGCGGGGGGCCCCUCCCGGGAGAGGCGCCGCCGGAAUUCGGGACAGGGUGGGGCCGCGAGGACAGCGAGCAGACCCCUCCCUUGUCGGGCCUGACCGCCGAGGGGGAGCUGAGCCGCACUUCGCACCGAGCCUUUAAUGUUCAUGGUCGGCCCCUGCGUGGAUCCUCUCCUUUGUCGAGCAGUGUUUCAGCCAGAGCGGUUUACAAAGGGCUCAUUUCCUCGGGAUGCGGGGCAGGACUGAAAGUGCACUUCGUGGGGCUCGGUCUCCAUUUUGACUAAAUCAAAAUUUUCAUCAAGUGCUUCUCUAUGUAUUGAGACAUACACUUCACUAUCAGAGCAGUGACUCCACUCGGCCCUGUAGCGGCAUUGACCCCGACCAUGUGGAUGGCUGUGGAGAGACCUUUGGAAUGUCUGGCCACGUUGGCUUCAGCGGGCUGAAUUGUGGUCCCAGGUGCUGUGCAUCUGCAGUGUGAACGUUCCUGUCACUGAUGACCGGGCGACCCAUUUGCCCUGCUUUGGUGUUGUUGAGCCGGGCAACACCUCAGGGGGACCAAAUGGCAGAGAGAAUUGACUUUUGAGUUCAAAGUUUGUUUCAAAACAGAUGGGUCUUGCGGACAAUGCCCACCUCUGAGUAGCACCUGUUGUCGUCUCAGGCCUGAGCACAUCCAUCUCAGCACCUAGUUUGCAGUACUGACCCCCUUCGUUGCUGGGCUGCCUGGUGGGCAGGAGAGGGGGUGACCCGUGUCAUGGCUCACUGUUCAUGUCCCUAAUUUUGCAUCCAGUUCCUUUCCAGUGGCUUAGAGAGUGACAUGCGUGUUACUGGAAGACAUGUGUCCGUUUCUUUCCUGAACCUGUUAACAGUGUUUUCUCCUUUCCCUCCCGGCUUUGCUGAGCCAAUUUUAUCAGCUGCCCUGCCUGCAGCUACCUCCCUAUCGGGAGGGGAAAGUGGAGAACACAUCCUGCUUUAGCAACCCCAACACGCCCGUGGUCCACGCUUCCCGACAGACCGCCACCACCAGCAGCACUUUACCAGAACAGAGCCCCAAGUUCUGCGUCCCCUCCUGGCCCCAGGGCACGUCCCGUGGAGGGGGGGGCAGCGGUAUGCUUUCACCGAGGCUGAGAAAUGAGUCGCAGUGCCCACUUCUGCAGCUGUCAUCCGGAAGGGAAUGGGAUCUUGGGCGCAGGUGGAAACUGUGCCCCACCAUAGAUUCAUGGUCCUAGAUGUUUCCCCCUCACCCUCUGAACUCAAGGCUUCACUACAGCAAUUUUGAGUUCCACGGGUGGGGUGUAGGAGUUACAGUCCCUGCUCUCCACUGGGGCCAGCUCAACACCUUUGCAAGCGGUUCGUGCUAAACUUGUGUGCAGUCCUAAACUGGCCUCAUCUCUGUCCUGAAUAUUUGGAUGAUACUUGACCCCAGCUUCCUGGAGGGAGCGCUAGAUCUUGACUGCCCUUGUGUUAGUUAGUGAUAGGAGAUUUGCCAGGUACCCAGGCAGAGAAUGUAGGAAGAUGAGAAUUGGUGGAUGGUGGAGAGCAAGGCCCAGGGGUGCAGGGCAGGGACUCUCUAUGAACCCAGGCUCUAGAAGGGGUGACUUAUGGGCCCUUGAUCUGUCCUGAGAGCCCACAACCACCUUGGGAGAAGGGAUUGUGACAUUUACUUGGUGCUGUGGGCGUACAAUCUCACACAAUCUAGCUCUUCUGGGUAUGCUUAACAUGUCCAGAAAAGUGUGUAUAUAAAUCUUGUGCGAUUCCUGUGGCCAAAACAAAGCUGUCAACUUUGAACACAUAUGUGGAAUCCCAGAGAAUGUCCACCAUGUCUUUAAGGUGAGGUACACAGGGUUAUGGAGAUACAGGUAUUCGAUGUUUCACCUUCUACCCCUCAGAAAAAAUGUUGAGCACACACCUCCAAUGUUUAUUUUUAUUUAUAAUGUAUAUAUUAUAGUUAUAAGAUACUAUGCAUAUUAUAAAGUGUAUGUUUGUAAUAGA